rnacentral:rRNA from 1 species
UACGGGGGGAUGCGAGCGUUGUCCGGAUUCACUGGGCGUAAAGGGUGCGUAGGCGGGUCUUUAAGUCAGGGGUGAAAUCCUGGAGCUCAACUCCAGAACUGCCUUUGAUACUGAGGAGCUUGAGUCCGGGAGAGGUGAGUGGAACUGCGAGUGUAGAGGUGAAAUUCGUAGAUAUUCGCAAGAACACCAGUGGCGAAGGCGGCUCACUGGCCCGGUACUGACGCUGAGGUGCGGAAAGCGUGGGGAGCAAACAGG